GAUGACCGGGCUGCCGGGAGGGGGGGCACCGUCCCAGGGCCCGGGGUCACAUCCCCACACACAGAGGAUCUGCCCAGUGUCUCCACCCAAGGGUCACAGGUCUCUCGGCUGAGGCCUGGCCGUCUGGGAGGGGGACAGGCUGAACCUCCUGCAAGAUCAAGGAGGUGCUCGGGCCCUGGGCCUCCUGAGCCUCGGCCCCGGCGGGGAGGGGGUUCGGAAGGGGGCAGGCCGGGCCCGCGCGGAGGGCCGGGCAGGUCCAGGGCCUGGGGGCUCCCGCCGACCCCCUCGGGGCUCCCUGGGGCUCCCUGGGGCUCCAGCCGGCCCUGCCAGGCGGGGCCAGGAGGGCAGGGGUCCGUGGGGCUCCCGGGCAGCACCUCCGGCCCCCCCCCCCCCGUCGGGCUGACAGCGGCUCCCGGGAGAAUUCAAACCGGGAAGGCGGGGGUCAGGGCGGGGGGACGCGAGCGCGGCGCCCCGGGCCCGGCGGGCGGGAGGCGCGACCUGCCCCGGCCCCCGGCCGCCCCCUCCCCCAGACCCCGCCCGCACUCACCUCUCGGGGCGCUGCGGUCCGGCCACCCCGCGGCGGGCAGCAUCAGCGGGCUGCGGGGCGGCGCACGCGGCCGGGGCGCGGAGGGCGCGGGGUCCCCGGGGGCGCGGUACAAAGCGGCGGCGGCGGCGGCGGCGGCCGGGGGGGCGGGGGCGGGGGCGGGGGCGGGGGCGGCGGGAGGAAACAAUGUAGCCGCGCGGCCCCGCAGAGUUCCGCUUCCGAGCGCGGCCGGGCCGGGCCGGGGCCGGGGCCGGGCCGGGGCGGGGACGUGGCGGCCGGGCCGGGGCGGGGAGCCGGGGCCGGGGCGGGGAGCCGGGGCCGGGGCCGGGGCCGGGGUCGGGGCGGCGGGCUCCCGCGCUGCAGGGCCGGGCGGGGUCUGGCGGCCGCGGGCUGGCCGGGACGCGGCCCCGACGGCGGGGGCGCCCCGCUCGGACCCCUCCCCGCGGGCCCCCGGGCGGGCGGGCGCGGGCGGGGGGCGGCGGCGGACACGCUGGGCUCGCCCGGGGCUCCGCCGGGAGGAAGCUCGCAGGCCUGGCGAGAGGAAGCGCGGCCCGGAUCCUCCGCCCGCCGCAGCGCGCCUGCGCGAGGGGCCUGCCCGGGGCGGCGGGGCGGGGGCGGGGCGGCGCCCCCUGCCGGGCGCCGGGGGCACUGCAGGGGGUGUGUCCGCGCCCUGCGCUGCGCUGCGCUGCCCUGCCCUGCCCUGCCCUGCCCCCGCCGCGCCCCGCGCCCCGCGCCCUCCCGGGGCAACCCCGCCGGCUCCCGGCUCGGGCCCCGCGCCGGAGCCACUGAGGCCGGGCCUCGGCCGCCCUCCCCCGACCCGGCCGCAGACACGGGGCCUCGCUGGCAGCCGCGAGCAGGCAUCCGUUCGCUCACUCAUUCAUUCGCCGGCUCCUGGCCCUGCCGUGCAGCCUCCGGGAGCGGCCGGCCCUCCUCCCCGUCGCGGGCCUCGGCGGGAUAACGGACGGGCCGGCAGCCCGGGGCAGAGACACCGAGAGCCGGGGGACGAGGUCCGGGAAGGCAGAAAAGAGGGGCCGGCGGAUGGGAGGACUUAA
rnacentral:lncRNA from 1 species